UACGGGGGGAGCAAGCGUUGUUCGGAUUUACUGGGCGUAAAGGGCGCGUAGGCGGCCAGCACAAGUCAGUUGUGAAAUCUCCGAGCUUAACUCGGAAAGGUCAACUGAUACUGUGCGGCUAGAGUGCAGAAGGGGCAACUGGAAUUCCUGGUGUAGCGGUGAAAUGCGCAGAUAUCAGGAGGAACACCGAUGGCGAAGGCAGCUCGCUGGGACGGUACUGACGCUGAGACGCGAAAGCGUGGGGAGCAAACAGG
rnacentral:rRNA from 1 species